rnacentral:rRNA from 1 species
CGGUAAUACAUAUGGUGCGAGCGUUAUCCGGAUUUAUUGGGUGUAAAGGGUGCGUAGGUGGCUUUUUAAGUUGGCUGUGAAAUCCCUCGGCUUAACCGAGGACGUGCAACCAAAACUGAAAAGCUUGAGUGUUGGAGGGGAAAGUAGAAUUUCUAGUGUAGCGGUGAAAUGCGUAGAUAUUAGAGGGAAUACCAGUGGCGAAGGCGGCUUUCUAGACAAACACUGACACUGAGGCACGAAAGUGUGGGGGAGCAACAGGAUUAGAUACCCUGGUAGUCCACGCCCUAAACGAUGUCAACUAGCUGUUGGGCCGGUUACGGCUUAAUAGCGCANCUAACGCGUGNAAGUUGACCCCCUGGGGACUACNGUCNCAAGACUAAAACUCNAAGGAAUUGACGGGGAACCCNCACAAGCGGUGGAUGAUGUGGAUUAAUUC